UAUUAUUAUUAUUAUUAUUAUUAAUAAUAAUAAUAAUAAUAAUAAUAACAGCUGUUGUAAAGUACAGAAGAGUACAAAUACGCAAUUGGCAAACUGAAUCCAUGAAGCAGAUUCAAUUCCCAGCUGAAGCCAUUUCACUUAUGUAUCAAAUAUUCUUGGGAAAUAGAUGAAGAUCACAAUAUCCUGUGUACUCUCCACUCCACCCCCUUACAAAUCUGAGGCCUUUUGCCAUGUUGUAUGACACCAUCAUUAUUAUGAUUAGUCUUCAGGCUGCUACUUAAUAAUAAUAAUACCUUGUGGUAUUCCAUCUCUUUACAUUCUGAGUUCAAAUCUCACCAAGGUCCACUUUGCUUCUUACCCUUUCAGGGUUGAUAAAAUAAAGUACCAGUCAAGUACUGGUAUCAACCAAUCCCACUACCAUUGAAAUUAGUGGUCACAUGCCUAAACCAGAAACAUAAUUAUUAUUAUUAUUGAAAAGAAGAAAUGAUUAACUUCUUCCAUCAUCUAGUAAUGUCUAUUGGAAAAGGCUUGAAGACCACAACUUUUCAUCACCUCUUUCCUAAGGCCAUAUAUCUUAUCAAGAAAUCACGAUCAUCAUCAUCGUCAUCACUGCCAUCAUUGUUAUCACUACCACUUCCGUCAUCAUCAUCAAAAGAAUUUAUUAUUAUUAAUUAAAACAAAAAAGAAAAAAAAAGUGUUGUGCCUGCUGAAUUCUAUUUCAAGAAAGGAAUGGUAAAUGUAUUCCAGAGAAACAAGCCGAAAUUGACUUUAAUAAUCUCUUUUGAAAAAAAAAAACGAAAUAAUUUCAGUGAUUCUUGAACAAAUAAAAAGCAUUAAAAAGAAAACCAAAAUAAACAAAAACAGCAACGGAACUUUGAGAAGAAAUAAAAGACUUCAAGGAAACAUUUGUGACAUUAAAACUGAAGAUAAUAUCAACAACACAUAAAAAAAAUAAACCUUUGUCUUUUA